rnacentral:lncRNA from 1 species
CGCCGCCAAUCGGGCAGUAGUAGCGGCAGCAGCCGCCCGAUCCCCGAGAAGGAUGCGCCAAACGAUGGCGAUCUCCGCCGCAAUUAAUCGAAGAGACGACGACACCUCGAAUAAGCCAUCAUACGGCGGAGGCGAGGGACACGUGGUGGACGAAGGGAUGAUCGUGCUGAGGAAGCGGAUCGGGGAGAUGAAGAUGGCGGAG